GGAUCAACAGAGGGCACUGUUCUUUGUAUCAGUUGACGUCAGAUUGCGCCAGUUAUCGGGCCAUACAAAACGGGAAAAUAUCAACGUGAGGCACGUUUAGCCUAGGUACAGUUAACUCGUUUUUAAAGGGUUUAAUAGUUGACGACGUGAGCAUGCAGCCAGUGAUAUGCAAGCCACGGCACAGUCAGUGGGAAGAUGCAGCAUUAUGAUGGCAGUUCAGAUUGCAGGUUGAUAUGCAAUGGCAGCAGACAUGGCUGGAUGUGCAUAUGGGAUGAUACAAGACUCGGGAGUCAUUGGAUGACUGAGCACUCAUCAGAAUAGCAGCAGAGCACAGACAGAAAAAGCAGCAGCGAUACGGUCUCAGCUGUCUGACACAGCAGAGAGGAUGCCUAGCUGAGACAAAGAACGAAGACAAUGACGAAGGCUGAUUAUCUACAGCGAUGUACCGAGAUGUUCACUGCAGAGGGUCAGUGUAGUUGAGUCAGCUGCUGGAUUAGAGGACGUGCUGUGAAUGUGUCACUUUGCCUUUGGCAACUCGGACAAAAUUGACCCGGGUGCUGAUGCGUGACAUUAACUUCAGCUGGAGGAUGUUGCAGAGUAGACUGCAGAGCUGAGGAGGUAUGUACGCUCCUUGCAGCUGCUUUAAUUGGCAUCCAGACUGACUCCUGCUAAAAUGUGAUCAGCAGGUUGGUGGAGAGAGGCAAGAUCAUGGAGAGGCUCACCCAGCUGUCACAGACUGGACUUGGACUGAUAUAAACUUCCAUAUAUGCAAUUUGGACUGUUUUGCAUGUUUAGUAACUCUCUGUGGUGUGGUUUGGGCUAUUCACAGAAGUCUUGUGCUCUAUGAAAUUCCUUGUACCAAGUUUUGUAAUUACAUGUAAUUGCUUGCAAUAUUAACAGUCAGAUAUUGGUGCAUGGUACCCUUUCGAUUGAACACAGCAUAAAUAUCUGACUUGGAUAUAUAGUCUGAGAAGAGACAUGUCAGUGUUGUCUUCAUGACCUUUGACACCACUCCCUUCAUUGGCCCAUCCUUGGAUCCGUCACUUUUCUGGAGCUGUUAUAGCAGUAUAAUUUCAGUAAUCCUAUUAAAUUCCCUGGUCGGCGUCUAUACAUGUAUUAAGAUUUUAUUUGUUUAUAAAACGGUUACCACUGUCUGUGCAAUUUUCGAGCACCCCCCCCCCCCCUUCCCAGAGAAAUAUAAUUGUUUAUAUUGCUGUUUAUUUUAACAAUACAACAGUUAGUCACUUUUAAAUGAGAACGAACAGUUUGUCCCAUGUUUGGUUAUGGAAUGAUAACUUUACAGAUUUUAAUUAUAUAGAGAUGUCACUUUUCAAUUUCUAAACUGAAUUCAGGGGUUGUUUUUUUUCAAAAACUGUGACGAAUUAAAAGUGCCGGAUUUGGUCUGAAACAUCCAGAAAACACAUUUCUGAAAGGGGGCAAGGGUAGUUUCAGGAUUUUCAGUAGUGUUUCAGGCUUUUUUAUUGACAUUUUGGUGGUAUCACUGAUUAUGCAGCCCAAUAAAAAUUCAGUUCUUGUAGGGAAGACUGGUUCCCGACUCAGAAAUGAUGAUGUAGGGGCUGGGAAAUAGCCUGGCUUCUCGCACAGGGGGAUCUGUUUGUGCGCAAAAGCUACAAAAAAAUACAUGCCUUACUUGUUCAGAGGGUUGCAAAUGCCCCAAAACAGAACAAAACAGUUGGGUUGUGUUCUGUUAAACAGAUCGAAAAUAUGAAGUAAGAAAAAAUUAAUUAGCUAAUUUUGUGGACGCUGAGUCAUCUUAAAUGCCUGUUACUUGCCUGAUCAUUGCUUUUUAAAAGUUAAUUCAUACAGUAUACUGACAUGCUUUAAAUAUUUUGGUAAAAAAAUGUUUUAUUUUUGCAAUAAAGUGCUCUUCAAGACUUCAAAAUAGUUCGAUAUUAUAAGCACAGUCAGUAAUAACCCUGUGUUAAGUUUGAUAUAAGCUGUUGAGGUUGAAAGAAUUAAAACUUUAAAUGCUUUCCA